AGAGUUUGAUCCUGGCUCAGGAUGAACGCUAGCGACAGGCUUAACACAUGCAAGUCGAGGGGCAGCACGAUGUAGCAAUACAUUGGUGGCGACCGGCGCACGGGUGAGUAACGCGUAUGCAACCUACCUAUCAGAGGGGAAUAACCCGGCGAAAGUCGGACUAAUACCGCAUAAAACAGGGGUUCCACAUGGAAAUAUUUGUUAAAGAAUUAUCGCUGAUAGAUGGGCAUGCGUUCCAUUAGAUAGUUGGUGAGGUAACGGCUCACCAAGUCCACGAUGGAUAGGGGUUCUGAGAGGAAGGUCCCCCACACUGGUACUGAGACACGGACCAGACUCCUACGGGAGGCAGCAGUGAGGAAUAUUGGUCAAUGGGCGAGAGCCUGAACCAGCCAAGUCGCGUGAAGGAUGAAGGAUCUAUGGUUUGUAAACUUCUUUUAUGCGGGGAUAAAGUGAGGGACGUGUCCCUCUUUGCAGGUACCGCAUGAAUAAGGACCGGCUAAUUCCGUGCCAGCAGCCGCGGUAAUACGGAAGGUCCGGGCGUUAUCCGGAUUCAUUGGGUUUAAAGGGAGCGUAGGCCGGCCUUUAAGCGUGCCGUGAAAUGUCCCGGCUCAACCGGGGCACUGCGGCGCGAACUGGGGGCCUUGAGUGCGCGGAACGUAUGCGGAAUUCGUGGUGUAGCGGUGAAAUGCUUAGAUAUCACGAAGAACCCCGAUUGCGAAGGCAGCAUACGGCAGCGCUACUGACGCUGAAGCUCGAAGGCGCGGGUAUCGAACAGGAUUAGAUACCCUGGUAGUCCGCGCGGUAAACGAUGGAUGCCCGCUGUCGGCGACACACUGUCGGCGGCCAAGCGAAAGCGUUAAGCAUCCCACCUGGGGAGUACGCCGGCAACGGUGAAACUCAAAGGAAUUGACGGGGGCCCGCACAAGCGGAGGAACAUGUGGUUUAAUUCGAUGAUACGCGAGGAACCUUACCCGGGCUUGAACUGCAGAGGAAAGAUCCAGAGAUGGUGAUGCCCUUCGGGGCCUCUGUGGAGGUGCUGCAUGGUUGUCGUCAGCUCGUGCCGUGAGGUGUCGGCUUAAGUGCCAUAACGAGCGCAACCCCUGCCGUCAGUUGCCAUCGGGUUAAGCCGGGCACUCUGUCGGGACUGCCUCCGUAAGGAGUGAGGAGGGUGGGGAUGACGUCAAAUCAGCACGGCCCUUACGUCCGGGGCUACACACGUGUUACAAUGGGGGGUACAGAGCGCCGGCGUCCCGCAAGGUACGUCCAAUCGUGAAAGCCCUCCCCAGUUCGGACUGGGGUCUGCAACCCGACCCCACGAAGCUGGAUUCGCUAGUAAUCGCGCAUCAGCCAUGGCGCGGUGAAUACGUUCCCGGGCCUUGCACACACCGCCCGUCAAG
rnacentral:rRNA from 1 species